GAUGAACGCUGGCGGCGUGCCUAAUACAUGCAAGUCGAGCGAACCCUACUUCGGUGGUGAAGCGGCGAACGGGUGAGUAACACGUAGGUGAUCUGCCCAUCAGACGGGGACAACGAUUGGAAACGAUCGCUAAUACCGGAUAGGACGAAAGUUUAAAGGUGCUUCUGGCACCGCUGAUGGAUGAGCCUGCGGCGCAUUAGCUAGUUGGUAGGGUAAAGGCCUACCAAGGCGACGAUGCGUAGCCGACCUGAGAGGGUGAACGGCCACACUGGGACUGAGACACGGCCCAGACUCCUACGGGAGGCAGCAGUAGGGAAUCUUCGGCAAUGGGCG
rnacentral:rRNA from 1 species